GGUGACUAGUGACAGAGUUAGGGAGGGAAGGGGUGACUAGUGUCAAAGUGAGGAAGGGAUGACUAGUGACAGAGGGAGGGGUGACUAGGGACAGAGUGAGGGAGGUGGUGACUAGUGACAGUCACCACCUCCCUCACUCUGUCACUAGUCACCACCUCCCUCACUCUGUCACUGUGUCACCCCCUCCCUCUGUCACUGGUCACCCACUCCCUCCCUCACUCUGUCACCAGUCACCCCUUCCUUCCCUCUGUCACCAGUCACCCCUUCCUUCCCUCUGUCACUAGUCACCCCUUCCUUCACUCUGUCACCUGUCACUCCCUCACUCUGUCA